rnacentral:rRNA from 2 species
GCAACAGACACGGGUAGUUUCACG